AGAUCGGGAGGUCAUGGUGUGAGCCGAUCCCCCUUUCUCCGCAUCUGUCCUCUCGCCACCGCCAUCGACCUCGAAACUCUCUGCUAGAAGAUCUCUCCACGGCGACGCCUCACGUUCUUCCUCCGGUCGCCCGACGCCUUCGUCAUCUACGGGCGGACGAACUGGUGGGCGCAGUGCUGGGAGUCAGUACGAGUUCCAAGAUCGAUGUCCAAGAUCCAUCUUGGACAUGUUGGUCCGAGAUCAACGUUCUCUUCCUAUACCAGUCAUCUAGAGUCGCUGACUUACGUUUUGGUGAGAAGGUGGGAUCAGAGCAGGGUGGUACGUUGCACAUGAAAACUUGGAGUUGGUAGGAAUAAGUUGAAGUGGUUGGAUCAUCCCUAAGGAGAUGGAGGCGUUUCUAAAUGACCAGAUUUCUCAGCACGACCGACAUAAUGUUCAGCGGUAAGAAGACCACCGCGUGUGGGCGGGUGACAUCACGGACCGGAAGGGGCCUACUGGUGCUAAACACAUCGGUACUGGUAAUAAAUCGAAACUCUUUUCUUUUUUUCUCUUUAUUUUUUUUUAUUCCCCUCGUUAUCAUCAUGGUGAUAGGGGGUCCGGUAAGCUCAGUGCAGAAUCUUCUGUACACUUGAGCUCGCCCACUGUGGAUUUAGCUUCUAAAGCUUUUCUUAUUGCAAUCAGGAGGGGCAGUUACAGUGAGGAUAUCUAUAUUUCAUUUGAUUAAUUAUUUUCAUUUUUCUAUAUGCCGCUGCCGUCUCUGCUCUUGUUUGGUCGUGUGGUCGGGAGGAAGCACGAAUUAGCUUGGUCUGAACGUGGCUUUAAGCUACUUAAAAGGUUGCGCUUUUAGUACAUAUAUAUAUAUAUAUAUUAAAAUCGAAGCUAGGUAAUUCAGUUGCAACCAUCUUGAUGAUUCAAGCUAAAAUCAAAACUGGACUCGAUGAUUGUUUAUUCCAAAUCCAAUUGAAAAUAAAGUUGAUGAUUCGAUUAUGAUUCUUCGUUUUUGGCAACCAGGAUCAAUCUUAGACGUUCGAUUUCGAAAUUAAAAUCAAGAUCAAGUCUAGCUUGAAGGGAUGAAACAACUUCUGAAACUAAAAUAAUCAUCUUGACAGUGCGCCCGCCUAAGGAAUCAUAAAGAUGCAUCCAACUUAAGAUUGUCUUAAAGAAGCAACCGACAUGAUGGUACGAUCGACUUGAGGUCUUUUUGAGGACGAUGGUGCGAUCAUUUUGAAGUGGUUGUCUUGAUGGCACGUCCAACUUAAUGAUGAUGGUGCGAUCAUCACAAUCAAGUUGAAGUAGUCGACUUGAAAAAUGACUAUCUUCCUGGUAAUCAUUUUGUGUGUCUUUUGAUAAACUAUCAUGAUUUAACCUAAUAAAUGACAAUUUUAUUUUAAUUUUUAUUUACUUUAAAUGCAAGAAUAAAUCAUGACAUUCUGGUUAAGGCCCCAACAUAACUUGAAAUCAAACGCUAAUAUGGUGCAUGUUAAUAUGUUGUAAUUUGUCCUCUAAUCUCGUCCUUCCAAGCCUCCUAACUGUCACAAUUAAUUCUAAAUAC